rnacentral:rRNA from 1 species
CAGCCGCCGCGGGAAUACGGAGGGUGCAAGCGUUAAUCGGAAUUACUGGGCGUAAAGCGCACGCAGGCGGUCUGACAAGUCAGAUGUGAAAUCCCCGGGCUUAACCUGGGAACUGCAUUUGAAACUGUCAGGCUGGAGUCUUGUAGAGGGGGGUGGAAUUCCAGGUGUAGCGGUGAAAUGCGUAGAGAUCUGGAGGAAUACCGGUGGCGAAGGCGGCCCCCUGGACAAAGACUGACGCUCAGGUGCGAAAGCGUGGGGAGCAAACAGGAUUAGAUACCCGCGUAGUCCCUGUCUCUUAUAC